ensembl:lncRNA
CCAAACGUGCCGCUGCCCCGGGCUCCAGCGCUCGCGCGCCGGCCUCCAGCCGUUCCAAGCGGUCACUGCCUCCAGGCGCCCGACCACGGCCCCGUCCCCCAUCAGCUCCCCCCUCCACACGCCCCAGGUCGUGCAACGAAACCUGGUGCCACGCGGAAGGCGACGUCAUCGCCUGUUCCUAUCGCUCGCUCGGGGGCUCCCACAGCGGCCCGCGGGGCGCACGGCCCUACCAGCACGGGCAGCGUGAGCGCUCCCGCCCUCCGCAAGCAGGCCGAGAGAGAGCCCAGCUCGACGAGGCCUAAGCUCUUCUCCAGCUUGUUGGCUUUGCAUCAGGAAGAGCUGCCCGUUUCUCUUGGAAACAAAACACUGAGCCGAACCAGCAGGUCUCAGCGCUUCACGUGCCCCAUCCCUCUCCCUUUCUCUCUCUCCCCACACCGUGUCUUUCUGUCUCUCUCUUCCCUAGUCUUUCUCCUCCCUUCCUCCCUCUUUNNNNNNNNNNNNNNNNNNNNNNNNNNNNNNNNNNNNNNNNNNNNNNUCCGCCCUUCUCCCUUUUGCUCUCUUUCUCCUGCUUGCUUGCUUUUCCACUCGCUCUCUUUCUCUCCCUUCCUCCCUCCGGCUCUCCCCCUCCCUCCUUCCUCUCCCUUUACCUGGCUUCAUCUCCCUCGUGCUCCCUCUUUCUCGUGCGCUUCACUCUCAACUCCCUUUCUCUUUUCUCUUGCUUUCUCUCUGUCUCCCUCUUUCUCCCUCCCUCUCGCCCUUUUUUCUCCUUCUCCUUCCCUCUCCCCCUUUUGGCCUUUUCUCUCCCUCCUCUUCCCUUGCUCCCCCUCUUCCCCCUCUCUCCCUUCCUUCCUUGCUCUCUCUCACCAGCCAGCUCCUGCUCUCUCUUCCUCUCUUCGCCUUGCUGCCUUUUCUUUCUCUCUCUUCUGCCCUCUUUCUCUCUUUUUCUCUCUCCCCCUCUCUCUCCCUCCCCUCUGUUCCUCAAGGUCUCACCACCUUCUGCCCUGCUCUCUUGCACGCGCUUGCUCCCCGAGGUCAGUCUUUCCCUUUUCUUCUCUUUUCCCCCUUUCCCUUUUCUUCUUGUGUAUUUAUUCCUCAAUAUUUCUUCUAGAUUUCUUCUUCUCUUUCUUCUUCUACUUCUCCUUCUUUCUUUUUCUUUCUCUGUCACUCUUUCUCCCUUUUCCCUUUCUCCAUCUCCCUUUCUCAUUCCAUUUUUUUCUUUCCCUCUGUCCCUCUCUCCUGUUUCUCUCCCCCAUGUUCUUCCCCUCUUGUUCUCUCUCGUCUGCCCUCACUCUUUUCCUUUCUCCUUCUUUCUUCUUCCUUCUCUCUCCCUUGUUUUUCUUUCUUUCUCUUCUCUCUUGUUCUCUCCCCUUCUCUCUGCCCCAUAUCUCUUUCUCUCUCUAUAAUUCUCACUCGCUUCUUCCUUUUUCCUCUCUUCUCCCUUUCAUUCUUUCAUUCUUCAUUCCUUUUCCUCCCCUUUUCUCCCUCCUUCUCUUCUCUCCCUCCUCAUUCUCUUUCCAUUUCCCUCUCCUUCUCAGCAUCUCUCUUGCUCUUUCCUACUCCCCCUCUCUCCUUAUUUCUCUCGCUCUCCCUCUUCUUCCUCUCCCUUUUUUUCUUGCUCCUUCUCCCUCUCUCCCCCUCCUUUGCUCUCUCUUGCCUUCUCUCCCCAUCUCUUUCCCCUUCUUUCUCCUUCUCUUCUUCACUCUUCCUCUCUUUCUUUCUCUGCCACCCUCUUUCUCCCUCUACCUCCCUCUCACUUUCUCUCUUGUUCUCUCCUCUCCUUCUCUGUUCUUCUCUCCCUCCCUCUUUUUGCCUCCUUCUCCCUCGCUGUCUUCUCUUGCUCUUUCUCUUCCUCUCCUUCCGCAUUGCUCUUCUUCUCUCGCUCUCUCCCUCUCCUCUCCCACUUUCUUUCUUCUUUUUUCCUCUCUCCUUCACUCUUGUUCUCUCACUUUCUCUCUCUCCCUCUGUCUUUCUCUACCUCACUUUCUCUCUUUCCCUGGUCUCUCUUCUUCCUCUCCUACCUCCCGUCCUUCUCUCCCCUUCUGCCUUGCCCUCCUUUGGCCUCUCUCUCCUUCUCCCUUUCAUUCCUUCAACUCUUUCUCUCCCUUUCUGCCUUUCUCUUAG